rnacentral:rRNA from 1 species
AUGAACGCUGGCGGCGUGCCUAAUCCAUGCCAGUCGAGCUCACAGACGAGGAGCUUGCUCCUCUGACGUUAGCGGCGGACGGGUGAGUAACACGUGGAUAACCUACCUAUAAGACUGGGAUAACUUCGGGAAACCGGAGCUAAUACCGGAUAAUAUAUUGAACCGCAUGGUUCAAUAGUGAAAGACGGUUUUGCUGUCACUUAUAGAUGGAUCCGCGCCGCAUUAGCUAGUUGGUAAGGUAACGGCUUACCAAGGCAACGAUGCGUAGCCGACCUGAGAGGGUGAUCGGCCACACUGGAACUGAGACACGGUCCAGACUCCUACGGGAGGCAGCAGUAGGGAAUCUUCCGCAAUGGGCGAAAGCCUGACGGAGCAACGCCGCGUGAGUGAUGAAGGUCUUCGGAUCGUAAAACUCUGUUAUUAGGGAAGAACAAAUGUGUAAGUAACUAUGCACGUCUUGACGGUACCUAAUCAGAAAGCCACGGCUAACUACGUG